GUGUCAGCCGCCGCGGUAAGACGUAGGAGGCGAGCGUUAUCCGGAUUCACUGGGCGUAAAGCGCAUGUAGGCGGAUGGGAAAGUCAUGUGUUAAAGCCCCUGGCUCAACUGGGGGAGGUCACGUGAGACUCCUCGUCUGGAGGACAGCAGAGGAGCGUGGAACUCCCGGUGUAGCGGUGGAAUGCGUAGAGAUCGGGAAGAACACCAGUGGCGAAGGCGACGCUCUGGGCUGGACCUGACGCUGAGAUGCGAAAGUGUGGGGAGCAAACGGGAUUAGAUACCCGCGUAGUCC
rnacentral:rRNA from 1 species